AGCAGCCGCCGCGGGAAUACGAAGGGUGCAAGCGUUAAUCGGAAUUACUGGGCGUAAAGCGUGCGUAGGCGGUGAGUUAAGUCUGCUGUGAAAUCCCCGGGCUCAACCUGGGAAUGGCAGUGGAUACUGGCUCGCUAGAGUGUGGUAGAGGAUAGUGGAGUUUCCGGUGUAGCAGUGAAAUGCGUAGAGAUCGGAAGGAACAUCUGUGGCGAAGGCGACUAUCUGGGCCAACACUGACACUGAGGCACGAAAGCGUGGGGAGCAAACAGGAUUAGAUACCCCCGUAGUCCCUGUCUCUUAUAU
rnacentral:rRNA from 1 species